UAAUAUUUUUUGAAAAAUGUAUAAAAUGUAGUAAUACUAAAACGUGCCAUAGAAAAAUUCUUUUGGAAAAUAUACAACAUUCCUUUAAAUUGGCUUUCUAUAUAAAUUCACGUUAUUUCCACUGUAAGUUAUCAAUUAACAAACGCGUUAAUAAAACAUUAUUAUAAUGAGUAAGAUUAUCUUUUUCUUGUUGGGACUGACGAUUUGUUCAGUCGCGAUCUGUAAGGAGGUAGGAUUUAAGCAUGAUGUAGAGGAAUCUGUAGAAGACGAUGGAAAAGUAAUGUGCAUUGUGACUGCCGUUUUGAAUUUCUUGUCGUGCCUCAAAAAGUACAUUCCCUCGGACUCCAACCCGGAGGCGGAAGGCAAUCUUCGCGGUACGUGUAUCCAACAAUUCGUGCAAGAUAUAAAAGGCUGUAAAAAUUCAUAAUGGUGAAAUGAUAUGAAGGCAACUCUCCUGAAACUGGCGAAUUGAUUUAAAUAUCCGUUAUAAUAAAUAUGAAGCAUUA